AUUAUUAUAAUAUUACAACACUUUUAAAUAAUACUAAAACAGUGUAAAGUGAGUACUUGUUUAUAACAUGAAUGGAUUGGUGAUCAUUUACUUCAGAAAGGCACUUUUCAGUUUGCAGUACUAAAGUUCUUCUUUAAGAUUGAUGCCCGCCUUGUUUGUUUUAAUACAGAAGUUAGAAAAUUUUCAGCAAGUAUCCUGAUAGAACCCUACAAUUACAGAAAGUGAAAUACUUCAAUAAGUAACUAAGUUUAGUUGUCUGAAGAACAGUUAAAAGCUUCUUUGCUUUGGAUUGAUAGUAGCUGACUGUUUCUUAAUCUUCCUCCUGGUUGUCAUUAAAAAAUAAUAAUAAUAGAUGUUAUACUGGGAAGAGUGGGAGAUCUGGAUCUGCGAUAAUUGGCAAUCAACGUCAACUUAUUUUGUCUAUAUUCGAAGACUCUUUGUACAUCAUACCCUUAUUUAUUUAUUUAUUUAUUUAUUUAUUUAUUUGAGAUGGAGUUACGCUCUUGUUACCCAGGCUGGAGUGCAAUGGCGCGAUCUCGCCUCACCGCAACAUCCGCCUCCUGGGUUCAGGCAAUUCUCCUGCCUCAGCCUCCUGAGUAGCUGGGAUUACAGGCACACGCCACCAUCCCCAGCUAAUUUUUUGUAUUUUUAGUAGAGACUGGGUUUCACCAUGUUGACCAGGAUGGUCUCGAUCUCUUGACCUCAUGAUCCAACCGCCUCGGCCUCCCAAAUUGCUGGGAUUACAGGCGUGAGCCUUAUUUAAAAAAAAUGUUUAAAAAAUGUGGCCUAACAGUGAAGAGUAGCACUUGCUUCUCAAAAGUUUAGAAAUGUAAACAAGUAUGUUGGCCUUUGCAAUGGAUUUCUUUUUUUAUUUUUAUUUUUAUUGAUAUGUCAUAAUUGUAUGUAUUUAUAGGGAACAGGUGAUAUUUUGAUACAUGCAUACAAUGUGUGAUGAUCAAAUUAGGGUAAUUAGGAUACCCAUCACUGCAAAUAUUUAUCAUUUGUGUUCUGAACAUUACAAAUAUUCUAGCUGUUUUUUCUAGCUAGACAACAAAUUAUAUUGGUAACUAUAGUCACACUAUUUUGCAACUGAACAGUGGAUCUUAUUUCUUCUAUCUAACUGUAUUUUUGUACCCAUUAACCAACCUCUCUUCAUUCCUCUUUUCCCCCUACCCUUCUCAGCCUCUGGUAACCACUAUUCUACACUAUAUCCUUGGGAUCAACUUUUUUAGCUCCCACAUGAGUGAGAACCUGUGAUAUGUCUUUUGUCUUUCUGUGUUACAUCUUCAUUCACUCAAAGUAAUGUCCUCCAGGCUCACCCAUGUUGUCACAAAUAACAUAAUUUCAUUAUGUUUUAUGUCUGAAUAAUAUUUCCUAUUCAUUCAUCCAUUGAUGGACACAUAUCAUAGCUAUUUUGCAUAGUUCUUUAAUAAACAUGGGAGUGCAGAUAUUUCUUUGAUAAAAUGAUAUCCUUUCUUUUGAAUCUAUACCCAAAAGUGAGCUUGCUAAAUCACGUGGUAGUACUAUUUUUGUUUUUUGAGGAACCUCUAUGCUGUUUUCCAUGGCAGCUCUAGAUCAUGCAUUCUAUUUCUGUUUUUUGGAGAAACCUCUGUGCUGUUUUCCAUAGCAGCUAUACUAAUUUACAUUCCCACAAAAAGUGUACUAGUAUUCCACUUUCUCAGUGUCCUUACCAGCAUUUGUUAUCUUUUCGGUAAUAGCCAUUUUAAUUGGAGUGAGAUGUUAUUUCAUUGUGGUUUUGAUUUGCAUUUCCCUGAUGGUUAGUGAUGCUGAACAUUUUUUCUUAUACCUCUUUGCAAUUUGUAUGCCUUCUUUGGUAAAAUUUUUAUUGAAAUCAUCUGCCAUUUAAAAAAAUUGGAUUAUUUGUUUUUGGUGUUUUGUUUUGCUACUGACUUCCUUAUAUGUUCCACAUAUUAAUCCCUUGUCAGAUGGAUAAUUCGAAAAUAUUUCCUCCCAUUUUUAGAUUUCUCUUCAAUUUAUUGGUUGUUUCUUUUCUGUGCAGAAGCUUUUCAGCUUAAUGUAGUUCCAUUUAUCUAUUUUUACUUUCAUUGACUAUUUUUGAUGUUUUACUCAAAAAAUCUUUGCCCAGACCAGUGUAAUGGACUUCUUGAUAGUAACCAUAAUAAUGAUUGCCAGUAGAAAUCCUUAACUAUGUCAGAUACUAUCUCAUUUUUUAAACUAAUCCUUUGAAUUAAGUACUAUGAUUAUCUCCAUUUUUCAGAGAAGGAAAUACAGUAUACAGGUUUAAAGAGUAAACAACUUUCUCAAGGUUACACAGUUAGUAAGCCAUGGAGCAUGAAUCUAAGCAAGGUGUUUGAGUCCAAAGAAUAUGUAGUCAACCACCAAGAAAUACAUCCUCCCAGUGAUUAAUGGCAACUAGUAGGCAUGAGGAGAUAAAUUUGAACAUGAGGUGACAGGUAGGGGAAGAAGUAUGUCAUGUAAGUGGAAGAAGAGUUGCCUGGGCAUGUGCAUAUAGGGGAAUAGAGAAAUGGGCAGCUAUUUCCCAUAAAUGGGAUAUUAUAUCUAAUAGGGAAUGUCGGUAAGUAGGGUAAGUGACUAUUCACCCAAGGCCAAGAAGAUGGAGAAAGUCAACAUAUUAGGAAAGCCUAAACUGGUCUGGUAUAGGUCAAGGUAUAAAAUUCAAGUCCUAAUACGGUUUAGUUUGAUGGGAACCAUUUAACAAGAAUGCAGCUUCCUAGUUGUCUGUCUAUAUGAAAUGAUUUCUGUUUGUUCAGAAUUGUUUAUGCAUGUCUUAACUCACUGUGACACACAAGUAUAUGCCAUGUUUUGUUUCUUGAGAUUGUAAUGCCUCAUAAAUUUACAUUUAAUGGAAAAUGAAUAGUAAUCCCAAAGCCUAUAUAACUUAAUAAAUUGCAAUAACUUUUUAGCAAAAAUCAAAAUUGGCUUAGAAUGAGAAUUGUUAGAGUGAUAAUAGCUGGGAGAAUUUUUAACUGGUUUGGGAGUUUUUUCUCCAUACUUAUUUCCCCAAGACCCAUAAUGAUCUCCAUUUCAUGGCAUCUAUGUAUUCUACAUGUGCCUUGGUGUAAGAAUUUUAAGAUUGUGGGAAAUGGAUGAUUUCUUAGGGUUUUAUCUAUGAAGUAAAUUUUAAUAUUGAUAUAUUUUAUAUAAAUGAUAAAACAGAAGCCAGUUGUAGCUUGGAUUGUCCAUAAAUUAAAUAUACAUAGUUUUUCAGUAUGGUUGUACUCUGCACAAUUUAUAACAACAGAUUAAAACAACAUUCUUGAUUGUGUAAUCAUUAGUCACUAUUCACAGUAUUUUCUUCAUCUGGAUAAUAUAGAAGAGCAAGAUACAGUUCUUCAUUAUGUGGUUCUCAAAUAAUUAUAUCUUAGGUGCAGAAUGUUUUGUUGCUCUGUCUCAGUACUUAUACAUUGAACAUUGAUUUCGUGUAUGCAAGGGUUUCUGUCGUAUCUUCCAAAGUUUGUUUGAAUAUUGUUUAAAGGUGUUUAUAGAAGGUGUUCACUUAGAAGACCAAUAUUAGAGACUGUUCACCAAAUGACUUGGACAUGCCUUUUGGAGCUUCCUAACCGUGGAAAGUGUCAGCUUUCACAUGGCAAAUGCAGAGACUCAAGAUCAAUGCUUUCAAAUUGAUGCUUAGUAUUUGAUAGCUGAUUCCCUAAAUUUCACAGAAACAAUGGCAAAGCCAUUGGAAAAAUUUGGCCCAAAAAGGGGCUUGGGUAUCAGUGAUGGUGAUUCUUGGGCAUUUAAAAAGAUGCUUAAAUGUUGAACGGUUGUAGAGACGAAUAUACCGUGGAAGUUUAGUAAAGAUUAAUUAUCUGGUAGAAGAGAAAGAGAAAAUGGAUUUAUCUCUAGCACAAAGAUGAGAUACUUUAUUGAGGAAGGGUUUUGGUCAAUAAAUCUUUUUUUUUUUUUUUUUUUGAGACGGAGUUUCUCUCUUGUUACCCAGGCUGGAGUGCAAUGGCGCAAUCUCGGCUCACCGCAACCUCCACCUCCUGGGUUCAGGCAAUUCUCCUGCCGCAGCCUCCUGAGUAGCUGGGAUUACAGGCACUAGCCACCAUGCCCAGCUAAUUUUUUGUAUUUUUUUUUUGUAGAGACGGGGUUUCACCAUGUUGACCAGGAUGGUCUCGAUCUCUUGACCUCGUGAUCCACCCGCCUCGGCCUCCCAAAGUUUUGGGAUUACAGGCAUGAGCCACUGUGCCCGGCCAGCUUGGUCAAUAAAUCUUAAGCUCAACCCUCCACCAGGAUUGGCCUAAGGAAAGAAAUAGAAUAAAACUUCAGAUACCAAUCAGAUAGAAUGUUCUCUGUAGCUAAUCUUUAAAAUAAAUUCUGAAAUAUAUAUUGUUCCAUUAACCAUGUAUAAUUUACAAAAACAUUUCCUACUUUAAUGGAAUUAUCAAGUUGAAUUUUGUAUUCCAACUCUUACUAAUAAAAGGAAACAGAUUAAGAGAGAAGCUGUUGGUUAGCUAUCUGACCAUCUGUUUGUUUUCAGAUCUACUUUGCAGCCCACAAGGAGGCCCUUUAAACCCAGCCCUUAAUGACUUUCUUCAAUCCAGACCAAGAUUAAACAAAAGUACAUUUAGAGAGACACGGCCAUUUAUUUUUAUUAAUAUGAGGACAAAGCUGACUUUUUACACUUGGCCAGCCGAGAAGAAUUUUAAGCAAGAGGAUUUUUUUCUAGCCCAGGUCUUGCAUGUUGGUUUUAUUCGUUUGUGUGAAAUCUUACAAACUGUCAGAACAUCAGGCAAAAAUUUCAAUUAUAAGUUUAAAAAUAUCAUAACAAAUUCAAAGACUGUAUAUUUAAAGUAUUCAAUGACAGUAGUUUUUUUGUUGUUGUAUUGCCCUUUCGUUAGCAUAACUAAGAUUUUUUUUUUUUUCUUUUUAGGAUGGAGUCUUAACUCUGUCACCCAAACUGUGGUGUGGUGGUGUGAUCUUGGCUCAUUGCAACCUCUGUCUUUCAGGGUCAAGCGAUCACCUGUUUCAGCCUCUCAAGUAGCUGGGACCACAGACAUGUGCCACAAAGUCUGGCUAACUUUUGUAGUUUUGGUAGAGAUAGGGUUUCACCAUGUUGCUCAGGUUGGUCACGAACUCUUGAGCUAAAGCGAUCUGCCCUCCUCGACCUUCCAAAGUCCUGAGAUUACACCUCGCUCAGCCUCUUAAGAUUUGACUUCAGUAAAGGCAACACUUACUUAUGCAUUGUAUACCUCAGGCAAGUUGCCCAGGGCUUUACCUGCAUUAUUUUAUUUAAUUGAUCUUGACAAUAACAUUUUAACAUAGUUAUUACUAUGUUAAAAGAUUCACAGCCGUUCAAGCCUGUAAUCCCAGCACUUUGGGAGGCCAAGGCGGGUGGAUCACGAGGUCAAGAGAUCGAGACCAUCCUGGUCAAUACGGUGAAACCCCGUCUCUACAAAAAAAAAAUACAAAAAAUUAGCUGGGCAUGGUGGUGCGUGCCUGUAAUCCCAGCUACUCAGGAGGCUGAGGCAGGAGAAUUGCCUGAACCCAGGAGGCGGAGGUUGCGGUGAGCCGAGAUCGCGCCAUUGCACUCCAGCCUGGGUAACAAGAGCGAAACUCCGGCUCAAAAAAAAAAAAAAAAAAAAGAUUCACAGAUUAAAAUUCAUUUUAUGUAAUUGGAGGGGGUAUCUCUAAGAUCCAGAAACAUAGGUACAUUGCUGAAGACCAAAGAGCUAGAAAUGGUAGAGCUGUGAGUAGAGCCCUGGUGUUCGGACUUCAGAACCCACUCCUAAAGACUGCAUUAUUUACAUAUCCUCUGUAUAUAGGUAUUGAAUAGAAAUUAUAAAUACUACAUAAAAAUCCUGUUAUAUGAUUUGGAAAUUAAUUACCAUUUAAAAGGGGGUGAUGUCCAAGUAGGCAAAUGUGUCCUCAUUCAUAUCCAUACUCGAGAGUGAGGUGAGAGUUGGUAUUGGUAGGCAGGCUGGGUGUAGGGAGGAUAGUAGCACCAUGCUGUUUUACAAUUUAGUUCUUUUUUUUAAUCAAAUGAGUUAAUUGACACACUUAAAAAUAAUAUUUGUCUGUACUUCCUUAUGCUGGCCUGUGUUACAUAUUGAAUUUUUAUGACUGAUUCUCUUCCAUGUUAUGUGGCUAUAGACCAACAUAAUUAAAAGGUAGUUUUUAUGAUUCUGUAACUCUAAAUUGACCAGGAAGGCAGUACUGCUAUAACUUGUAAACUCUGGUUUUAGACUCUAGUACUUGAGUUGUGGCCAUUUGGCUUAGUUCUUUUUGGAAAUGAGACCCUGUCCUAGGGUUAGGGUUGAGCCAAGCCUUUCUGCUUGGGGGAUUUCCAAAAAUGAGUCAAGACAAAUAAAAUUUCCCUUUUCAGACACCAGAAAAUAUUCAUCUUAAGUAACAUUUACUACAUGAGAAAAUUUUGUCUGUUGUACCAUCACCUUUCAGCCAGUUGUUUCAUUGUAAGUGCAGCAUAUUUUUCUGUUAAAAUGAUGAGUAAAUAUAUAUUUAAUAGUAGUUAUAUGAUACUGGAGAUGAUUCUUUUCAGUAUGUUAUAUCAAAUUUGAUUUAGAAGAAAGACAAGCAUAGACAGUUAGUUACUUAAUUUAUUAAACAUAUGAUCAAUCAUCUUACUUUAAUUGCUCAUGCAAAUUGUCAGCUUUAGUGGAUAAUAAUACUAAGAACUAUAAUUCAUUGAGUGCUUACAGUAUGUCAGGCACACCAGUAAGAACUUUAUACAUAUUAUUGCAUUUUUCUGACAACUCAAUGAAGCCAGUACCCUUAUUAACUCUGUUUUUAAGAAGAGGGGCUCAGAGAACUAGCAAGGUCACAGAGCUGGCAAAGCACUCCCCAGGUUUGUCUGAUUCCAGGGCCCAUGAUCUUAAGCCCUAUGCUAUUCUGCCUACUGGUUGAUAUUCACUAAUUACCCACUCUGAAUGCAGCUCUGAAACUGAUUUCAAGUCAUUGUAAUACUUCUUUUCUGACGAACUUGAAAAGCCAUGAAAAAUACUUCUUAAUUAAUUGGACUAUAGCAAUACUUGGUCUAUAGAAAUACUAAGGAUAAUUCUGGUGAUCUUUUACAUUAAGUGGAGAACUUGAGUUUAUCAGUGGAGAAAAUCAAAGUUUUAAGUGCUGAGUAUAUACUUUUAGUUAGAAUGCAGAACAUAUACCUUUAUCCCAAUUUCAGAAAAUCAUUUUAUUGCAAUCUAAUGAAAAGUAGAUAAGAUGGAUUUCUUUUUGAAGAUUUUUAAAGCUUUUUCAGCUUUAAGGAUGAGAUAUGUGUUGUUGGCUGUUGCCUGUGUGAUUUGAGUAGGUCAUAAAACUUUCUUUGCCUCUCAUCAUUCUCACAAGUUGAAUAUGAGUAACUAAAAAUGAAGAUUAUCAUGAAAGAAAGUUUCCACAAGUGUGUGAUGGUUAAUACUGAGUGUCAACUUGAUUGGAUUGAGGGAUUCAAAGUAUUAGUCUUGGGUAGUGUCUGUUGUGGAUGUUGCCGAAAGAGAUUAACAUUUGAGUCAGUGGGUUGGGGAAGUCAGAUACACUCUUAAUCUGGUGGACACAAUCUAAUCAGCUUCCAGCAAAUGUAAAGCAGGCAGAAAAAUGUGAAAAAGAGAGAUAGGCCCAGCCUGCCAGUCUACAUGUUUCUCCCAAGCUGGAUGUUUCCUGCCUUCAAACAUCAGACUUUAAGUUCUUCAGUUUUGGGAGUUGGACUGGCUCUCAUUGCUCCUCAGCUUGCAGACAGUCAAUUGUGGGACCUUGUAAUCAUGUAAGUUAAUACUUAAUAAACUCCCCUUUAUAUAUAUGUGUGUGUAUAUAUGUGUAUAUGUAUAUAUAUAUAUCUUAUUCUGUCCCUCUAAGAACCGUGACUAAUACAAAGCGUUAUUGGAAAUUCAUUACUAAAAAUAAUGAAAUCUGAUCUCAUAAUUUCAGAAAAAGCAUAAUUGGUCUUGUGAGUCAGGAAAUAUUUUGAACUUCUCAAAGAUGCAGUAGUUGGGGUGAAGUAUUUUCAGGGAAUUUCUACUUAAAAUUUAAGAGGAAAGGUAGGCCUAGCACAAUGGCUAAUGUUUAUAAUCCCAGUACUCUGGGAGGCUUAGCGGGGAUGAUCAUUUGAGGCUAGGAGUUUGAGACCAUCUUAGGCAACAAAGCAAGACAAAAAAUAAAAAAAGAAUAAAGGUGUUAAAUUUAAACUUUCUAAACAAUGUUGAGGGGACAAUCAGGGUUGUUGGUGGUGAUGAGACUAUUUUCCAGGUAACAAAACAAAUAACUGGUGAGUUUUAAUGUGAGCAAGAUGGAAGUGUGGACAAUUUUAUGCCCGACAUUGAAUUUAUGUGAUUUUUUUUUAAAGAGGAUAUUGAAAGGCAAGUAAAAAAUAUUGUGAAAAAAAAUGACUAAACAUUUAUAAAUUGCCCAAAUUGUACAUCAGAUUAGGAUUUUUUUAAUUAGAGUUUUAAGUUAAUGUCAAAGAAUGAGUUUUGUUUAGUGUGUGUUUAUAUCCAGUUAGAAAUUAUGUGGCUAUGAUUAGGCUCUGUUUUGGGAGCUUAAGAGAAGAGUACAUGUCUCACUUGGGAUUUAAUCUGACUCUACCCAAGAGUUGAACUGGAGAAGUAAAGUACACAUCCCGGGGACCCUUAUGAUGCCCAAAUGUCAGGGGCUGCUUGGGAUAGAUCCCACUGGACACACAGCGUGUGUGUACUUUCCAAAGUCAGUCACUCUAGGUUUCCUGAAAACUCAAAGCAUCUAAUAUGAUCUUUCAAAAUUAUGUCUACAUGUCCAAGUGGAUGUACUAUAAAUCAAUGUCUAAUUGCUUUUUGAAAAUUAUUUAUUUGCAGAGAUUGAAUUGAUUUUUUUUUUUAUGUCAUAUUGUGGUUGGGUAGGGAAGUCUUAGAAUUGUACUUUCUGGUUAAAGUGUAAAACUAGCGAUACAGUGCAUAAACAUUAUAUUGCUUAAAAUAUAUGAGAAUGCCUGAAAAGGACCUAUUAGUGCAAAAAUGAGAUUUCAUUUUGUGCAGCAGCUCAUGUAAGAGAAGAGAUUUGGGGGAAGGAAAAAAAAGCAAGAUUUGAAAACUUGGAUUAUCAAAACAUGGAUUUCUCCAAAAGCAGUUAUAAGAAAAAAUAGUUAGACUAUCUCCCAGUGAUUGAGGUAACCAUGAUUCUGCACCCACACCUCCAUAAAUUUCCAACACUUGAUGUCACACAAUUUCUUAAAAUAUUUGAAGUUAGAGGUGGCCAGACUUCAAGCGACAGUGACACAAGAUGGCAGCCACCACAGGCUUGGGAAUAAAAACCGCUCGCAAUUUCCCACUGUUGGAAGAACUUGAAGAAGGCCAGAAAGGAAUAGGAGAUGGCACAGUUAGCUGGGGUCUAGAAGAUGAAGAAGACAUGACACUUACAAGAUGAACAGGUAUGAUAAUUGGGCUUCCAAGAACAGUUGAUGAAAACCGAAUAUACAGCCUUAAAGUAGAAUGUGGACUAAAUACCCAGAAGCACCCCCCUUUGUAAGAUUUGUAAAACAAAUUAAUAUGAAUGGAGUUAAUAGUUCUAAAUGCAGUGGUGGACCCAAGAGCCAUAUCAGUGAUAGCAAAAUAGCAGAAUUCAUAUAGCAUCAAAGUUAUCCUACAAGAGCUUCGGUAUCUAAUGAUGUCUAAAGAAAGUAGGAAACUCUCUCAGCCGCCUGAAGAACAGUGUUACAGCAAUUAAUCAAAAAGAAAAACCACAGGCCUUCCCUUCCCUCCCCAUUCAAUUUAAGCAGUCUUCAUUUUCCACAGUAGUAAAUUUUCUAGGUACGUCUUAUAGACCUCAAAGUACUGGAAAGGAAACUGCCAUUCAAAGGAAAUUUAUCUUAAGAUACUGUAAAUGAUACUAAUUUUUUGUCCAUUUGAAAUAUAUAAGUUGUGCUAUAAUAAAAAAAUUUGAAGUUAGAAUGGUGAGCAUUAAUUUGUGUAUUUGUUAGUAAAAAUAUAGAGAAAUUUUUA